GUCUUCGGAAAUAGGUCAUUCAGCUUCUUGUUUCAGGCGAUAAUGAGUAGCAGCAAGUGCAGAUUUCUCUUCAAAAAUGGGUUGGUUCCAAAUUUGGCAGAAUACCCAUCAGUAACAACCUUACUUGAAGCCCACCAAGGUGCAUAUACAACAACUAGAACUCACAGUGGUGGUUCACUGUUGUUGUUUUGGGAAAGGCAUAUGAGCAGACUCUCUGAUUCUCUAAAAAUUCUCUUGAACUCUAACCCAGAACUUUUAUUCAAUUCAGAAACAUGUAGAGUCCCUUUUUCCUUAGUAUCAACAAAACCAACCAUGUGGGAUUCAUUGGUUCAAUCUCUUGUGGAUGAUUCCAUGAAAAAAGCUCUGCCGCUUGUAUUGAACAAAAGAACAAGUGGGGAGGAAUUGGCCAUUACAUGUCUUGUCAGUGGACAUGUUGAUAGUUUGGAGCAACUUGAGGAAAAGUUUUCUACAGCUUUUGAUGUUUAUGUCCAUGUUGGUUCCUAUGUUCCUCCGCUCUUUGGUAUUCACGAAAAUGCAGCACAUUUGGCAGUUGUAGGUCGUGGUAGACGCGUUGCAAAUGCCAAAUACUCAGAUUGGGUUAGGUAAUUGUGCAUGAACAGCUGGUUGCUUUCCUUUUAACCGUGAUGUACUCAUGGAGUUUCCCGUUGAUACUAAUGGAUGGUGAUUUCGUUUGACGAGAGGGAGUUGCUCCGAUGGUAGGCAAAGGAAACAAUUGGAGAAGCUGAGGCCACCUUCUGUCAACGAGCUCCUGUUGUCAAACAAUGGCGAUCAGAUCUUAGAGGGUUGUUUGACUAAUCUUUUUGUUGUUUGCCACAAGGAUGUUAAUGGUGAUAAUCACAAGUCUACAGUUUCAAUUGAAUUGCAGACUGCCCCUAUAAGAGAUGGUGUCCUUCCAGGCGUUGUACGCCAAGUAAUUCUCGACAUAUGCUCAAGAAACAAAAUCCCAGUCAGAGAAAUUGCACCUGCAUGGUCAGAGCGUGAAACGUGGUCAGAAGCAUUCAUUACAAGUAGCUUGAGGCUAUUGCAGCAUGUGGAAGUUAUUCAAGCUCCUAGUUCAUGGGGAUCACUUGAUACACAAACUUGGACUGACGUAUCUUGGGAGGAGAAGCGAUUUGAGAAUGCUCCUGGACGGAUCACUGCAUUCAUCCAGAAGGAUGUCAUGGAAAUGGCAAGCAUGGAAGGGUAUCCAGUUUCUCUAUUUAAUGACCGGUAGAUCUUCCCCUCAUAUAAUAUGUGCUAAUUGUGGUACGAUUGGAAAGGUCGUAUCUUAAAAACACAAUGUUUUAGCCUGCGAUAUCUUCCCUUCACACAACCCUGUUACAUUUAUUCUGGUGUACAAUUAACUUUAUGUUGAAUCAUUUGAUUAUAAGGAGAACCGUAAUUAACUCAAAUAAAGGUGAAUAGUUCAAUAACAGUUGUUUACUUUGAUU